CAACCCUCAAGCCCUCUUCGAUGUGGGCUCGGUGUUGGGGGAUCGACCCGGCGCCCAGCGCGCCAGGGCGACCCCUGAAAACUAGUGGCGGUUCCGCCCGCGGCAGCCUAUGCGUAGUAGCACAAACCUCGCACACGGAGCCCGGCGGUGGCCUUGCCGUUAAACACCCAAGACUCUAUUGUCUUCCAUG
rnacentral:misc_RNA from 1 species